rnacentral:rRNA from 1 species
AUUGAACGCUGGCGGCAUGCUUUACACAUGCAAGUCGAACGGUAACAGGCCGCAAGGUGCUGACGAGUGGCGAACGAGUGAGUAAUGCAACGGAACGUGCCCAGUCGUGGGGGAUAACGCAGCGAAAGCUGUGCUAAUACCGCAUACGAUCUAUGGAUGAAAGCGGGGGACCGUAAGGCCUCGCGCGAUUGGAGCGGCCGAUGUCAGAGUAGGUAGUUGGUGGGGUAAAGGCCUACCAAGCCGACGAUCUGUAGCUGGUCUGAGAGGACGACCAGCCACACUGGGACUGAGACACGGCCCAGACUCCUACGGGAGGCAGCAGUGGGGAAUUUUGGACAAUGGGCGCAAGCCUGAUCCAGCAAUGCCGCGUGCAGGAAGAAGGCCUUCGGGUUGUAAACUGCUUUUGUACGGAACGAAACGGCCUGGGUUAAUACCCUGGGCUAAUGACGGUACCGUAAGAAUAAGCACCGGCUAACUACGUGCCAGCAGCCGCCGUAACAC